rnacentral:rRNA from 1 species
GACGAACGCUGGCGGCGUGCUUAACACAUGCAAGUCGAACGGAAAGGCCCUGCUUUUGUGGGGUGCUCGAGUGGCGAACGGGUGAGUAACACGCGAGUAACCUGCCCUUGACUUUGGGAUAACUUCAGGAAACUGGGGCUAAUACCGGAUAGGAGCUCCUGCUGCAUGGUGGGGGUUGGAAAGUUUCGGCGGUUGGGGAUGGACUCGCGGCUUAUCAGCUUGUUGGUGGGGUAGGUGCUUACCAAGGCUUUGACGGGUAGCCGGCCUGAGAGGGUUACCGGGCACAUUGGGACUGCGAUACGGCCCAGAAUCCAACGGGAGGCAGCAGUGGGGAAUAUUGCACAGUGGGCGGAAGCCUGAUGCGACGACGCCGCGUGCGGGAUGACGGCCUUCGGGUUGUGAACCGCUUUCGCCUGUGACGAAGCGUGAGUGACGGUAAUGGGUAAAGAAGCACCGGCUAACUACGUG